GGCUACGAGGACGAACGCUGGCGGCGUGCUUAAUACAUGCAAGUCAACUUGACUUUAGAUAGCAAUAUCGAAAAGUAGGGUGGCGCACGGGUGCGUAACGCGUAGGUAAUCUGCCCUGAGGUCUGACAUAACCCGUCGAAAGGCGGGCUAACAUCAGAUGAUAUAUAAUCACGACAUCGUGGAAAUAUCAAAUCUUCGGAGCCUUGGGAUGAGCCUGCGUCUGAUUAGGUAGUUGGCGGAGUAAUAGCCCACCAAGCCUACGAUCAGUAGCUGGUCUGAGAGGAUGAUCAGCCACACUGGAACUGAGACACGGUCCAGACUCCUACGGGAGGCAGCAGUAAGGAAUAUUGCUCAAUGGGGGAAACCCUGAAGCAGCAACGCCGCGUGAAGGAUGAAAUACUUUGUAUGUAAACUUCUGUAAGAUGGGAAAAAUAUUCUCCUCGGGAGAAUUGAUUGUACCAUCAGAGUAAGCCCCGGCUAACUACGUG
rnacentral:rRNA from 1 species